CUUCGGUGGGCUGGCACAUCUGUCUCCUGUCUGGCGCUGAUCGACUCGGGGGCAGAGGGAAACUUCCUAGAUGAGAGAUGGGCUCGGGAACACAACAUCCACCCCUGGUGGAUUUAGAAAAGAGUACCACCAUCUUUUCCCUGGACGGUGGAGCUCUGUCUGAUGUUCGUCAGGUCACCAGUCCGGAGGAGCCCGGUGAUCUGAAUGGAGUACCGGAGAAUUACCAUGAUUUGCGGGCGUUUUUUUUCAGCCGUUCCCGGGCCGUCUCCCUACCGCCUCACCGCCCUUAUGACUGUAGCAUUGACCUCCUUCCUGGCACCACGCCCCCCCCCCGCGGUAGACUAUACUCCCUCUCAUCACCCGAACGAGAAGCGUUAGAGAAGUAUCUCUCAGAGUAACUGGAGGCUGGAAUUAUUGUUCCAUCUUCUUCUCCUGCCGGUGCAGGGUUCUUCUUUGUGGAGAAGAAGGACGGGUCAUUGUGCCCCUGUAUUGACUAUCUGGGUUUAAACGACAUAACUGUCAAGAAUCGCUAUCCCUUGCCCCUUAUGUCGUCGGGGUUCGAGAUCCUACAGGGCGCAAAAUUCUUCACAAAGUUGGAUCUGCGCAAUGCGUACCAUCUAGUUCGUAUCAAACAGGGCGAUUAGUGGAAGACCGCGUUCAAUACCCAUAUUGGCCACUUUGAAUAUCGGGUCCUUCCCUUCAGAUUGGCCAACGCCCCUGCCGUUUUUCAGGCCCUGGUUAACGAUGUCCUGACUGAUUUGUUUGCAGGAAACCUCAGUCAAAAAUAGCUCACCACCUAAAAAAUCACUAAAAAGAAGAGUCUGAUGUUGCUCGAGCAUUCUUGCUCCCUAAACAUUCUAAAGAGAGAAAGAAAUUCACUGAAGGAACAAAGGUAAUUACCUACAUAAUCAAGAUGUUUAAAGCAAAGGCAUGUUUGUCCAGUAAGAGCUAAGCAUUUACGUCGAUGCCCUUCAAAAACGCACACAAAGACACCGGCAUGGCCCAAGUCUUCGCUCUGGCUGAUGUUGCACACUAAACAUUCUCCCAAUUUCUCCUGGGAAAUAUCAAACAAGACGAGGUCGCAUCUAUGGGGCGUCUGUGGGUGAGUGGGGAGCACGGUCGUCCUCCAAUCAGAGGGUUGUCGGUCCGAUCCCAGGCCCUGCUAUCCCGCAUGCCGAUGUGUCCUUGGGCAAGACACUUAACCCAACAUUGCUCCUGUAGCUGCGACUACAGUGUGUGAAUGUUAGUUACUGAUGGGCAAGUGUCACUGUGUAUGGUUCUCCUGUAAUCAGUGUAUGAAUGGGUGUGAAUGGGUGAAUGAUGUCAUGUAGUGUUUAAGCGCUUUGAGUGGUCAGAAGACUAGAAAAGCGCUAUACAAGUACAGACCAUUUACCAUCUGUCGUUUGAAAUUAUUUCCUCAUACGGCAACUGGGUCGGUUUCUCUACAACAAGCAGGCAAGUGAUUCAACAAACUUUGAAUACAUCAGACAGAAGGUUCGGGAAACGGGCAGACUGUUGUUGAGCUUGAGAAAAGAAUGUUUGAUGUUUAGUUUUGAAGAUGCUGUCAAAGUCAUUGAGGCUGUGAAAGACGUUGCUGGUUACGAUGAAGAGAAACACUCCUGUUGCACACCAACUCUUGGUGAAAUCAGGGCAUUCGCUAAAGAAGGUUGGUGACAUCAUCCUCUGCAGGGUUAUUGCAGCAGAGGAUGAAGACAUGAUGAAGGUAUCGAAGCGAUUGACAAAACUAUGCUCUGAGGCAG
ensembl:lncRNA